rnacentral:rRNA from 1 species
AGGCUUUGAUCCUGGCUCAGGAUGAACGCUGGCGGCGUGCUUAACACAUGCAAGUCGAACGAACCUUCGGGUUAGUGGCGGACGGGUGAGUAACGCGUGAGAAUCUGCCCUCAGGAGGGGGAUAACGGCUGGAAACGGCCGCUAAUACCCCAUAUGCCGAGAGGUGAAACGAAUUUCGCCUGAGGAUGAGCUCGCGUCUGAUUAGCUAGUUGGUGGGGUAAAGGCCUACCAAGGCGACGAUCAGUAGCUGGUCUGAGAGGAUGAUCAGCCACACUGGGACUGAGACACGGCCCAGACUCCUACGGGAGGCAGCAGUGGGGAAUUUUCCGCAAUGGGCGAAAGCCUGACGGAGCAACGCCGCGUGAGGGAUGAAGGCCUCUGGGCUGUAAACCUCUUUUAUCAAGGAAGAAGAUCUGACGGUACUGUUAGUAAUGCCCAGCGGCUAUAUC